CUAGAAUUAGCAAAUCAACUGUGCCGUUGUCUCUAGAAUUUGGGCAGGAAAUGACCAAAUAUGGAGGAUGAAGCCAGUUGAUGAAGAGAUCAAUUCAAUGGCCAUCAGGUAUCUGCUGUUAAGACUGCAUUGGCGGA